UACGUAGGCAGCAAGCGUUGUUCGGAAUUACUGGGCGUAAAGAGCUCGUAGGCGGUUUGGUAAGUUGGAUGUGAAAUCUCCAGGCUCAACUUGGAGGGGUCAUUCGAUACUGCCAUGACUAGAGUUCGGUAGGGGAGUGUGGAAUUCCUGGUGGAGCAGUGAAAUGCGCAGAUAUCAGGAGGAACACCCGUAGCGAAGGCGGGUCUCUGGGCAGUAACUGACGCUGAGGAGCGAAAGCGUGGGGAGCGAACAGG
rnacentral:rRNA from 1 species